rnacentral:tRNA from 1 species
GAAGAGAUGGCUCAGUGGUUAAGAGCACUGGCUGCUCUUCCAGAGGUCCUGAGUUCAAUUCCCAGUAACCACA